GUCUUUUUGAUUAAUAUUUAUUUAAAGUCUAAUCUGCUCACUGAAUUAAAUUUUAAAGAGCCGCAGUAUUUUAACUGUGCAAAGGUAGCAUAAUAAUUUGUUUUUUAAUUGAAAACUAGAAUGAAUGAUUGAACGAAAUAUAUUCUGUCUCAAUUUUAAUUUAAUAUAAAUUAAUUUUUUAGUUAAAAAGCUAAAAUUAAUUUAAAAGACGAGAAGACCCUAUAGAUUUUUAUGUAAUUAUUAAUUAAUUUAUAUGUAUAUAAAUAUAUUUAUAUUUAUUAAUAAUUAUAUUUUAUUGGGGUAAUAAAAAAAUAAAAUAAACUUUUAUUAAAUGAAAACAUAAAUUAAUGAAAAUUUGAUCCAAAUUUAAUGAUUAAAAGAUUAAAUUACCUUAGGGAUAACAGCGUAAUUUUAAUUUUAAGUUCUUAUUGAAAUUAAAGAUUGCGACCUCGAUGUUGGAUUAAGAAAAAUUUUAAAAGUAGAUUUUUAAAUUUUAGGUCUGUUCGACCUUUAAAAUCUU
rnacentral:rRNA from 1 species